GCAGCAGAACGCCGGUGCCACGUAUCAGAGUGACUUUGUUUCAUGAUAUGAUUCGUCAUGAAAUUGAAUGCUAUGUUGAUGACAUGAUAGCAAAGUCCCAGACAGAGGAGGGGCAUCUGGUAGGGCUGACCAAGUUGUUGGACUGGUUGAGACAACUCAGACUGAGGUUGAAUCUGAAUAAGUGCACUGUCAGAGUGCGGGCCGGUAAAUUGUC
rnacentral:lncRNA from 1 species